rnacentral:rRNA from 1 species
CGUACGAUACGAGUUUGAUCCUGGUUCAGAACGAACGCUGGCGGCAGGCCUAACACAUGCAAGUCGAGCGAACCCUUCGGGGUUAGCGGCGGACGGGUUAGUAACGCGUGGGAAUAUACCCUUUGGUACGGAAUAGCCUCGGGAAACUGAGAGUAAUACCGUAUGUGCCCUUCGGGGGAAAGAUUUAUCGCCAAAGGAUUAGCCCGCGUUGGAUUAGAUAGUUGGUGGGGCAAUGGCCUACCAAGUCUACGAUCCAUAGCUGGUUUGAGAGGAUGAUCAGCAACACUGGGACUGAGACACGGCCCAGACUCCUACGGGAGGCAGCAGUGGGGAAUCUUAGACAAUGGGCGCAAGCCUGAUCUAGCCAUGCCGCGUGGACGAUGAAGGCCUUAGGGUUGUAAAGUCCUUUCAGAUGGGAAGAUAAUGACGGUACCAUCAGAAGAAGCCCCGGCUAACUCCGUG